rnacentral:rRNA from 1 species
UGGGGAAUCUUAGACAAUGGGGGAAACCCUGAUCUAGCCAUGCCGCGUGAGCGAUGAAGGCCUUAGGGUUGUAAAGCUCUUUCAGCUGGGAAGAUAAUGACGGUACCAGCAGAAGAAGCCCCGGCUAACUCCGUGCCAGCAGCCGCGGUAAUACGGAGGGGGCUAGCGUUGUUCGGAAUUACUGGGCGUAAAGCGCACGUAGGCGGAUUAGUCAGUCAGAGGUGAAAUCCCAGGGCUCAACCCUGGAACUGCCUUUGAUACUGCUAGUCUUGAGGUCGAGAGAGGUGAGUGGAAUUCCGAGUGUAGAGGUGAAAUUCGUAGAUAUUCGGAGGAACACCAGUGGCGAAGGCGGCUCACUGGCUCGAUACUGACGCUGAGGUGCGAAAGCGUGGGGAGCAAAACAGGAUUAGAUACCCUGGUAGUCCACGCCGUAAACGAUGAAUGCCAGUCGUCGGGUUGCAUGCAAUUCGGUGACACACCUAACGGAUUAAGCAUUCCGCCUGGGGAGUACGGUCGCAAGAUUAAAACUUAAAGGAAUUGACGGGGUCAUAGCUGUUUCCUG